UGAGAGGGGGAGAGAGAGUUGGAGAGAGACGGCCGCGGAGGACACGGGGACGGGAAAGUCUCAGAGACGGGGAGAGCCUGACCCGGCGGGACACAGGCAAAAGGAAACACGCGAGCCAGACAGACGCAGAAGAAACGUGCCUGGUACUGGAUAGGAACUUUAUGGAAUGGAGCUAAUGGGCCCUAGGGCAGGUUCGAGUCGUGCCACCCUGGAGGGGAAGGUGGAGGGUAGGGAUAAGGGGGUGGAGCACCUGAUUCCAAUCUUGCAGCAGGGAAGAAGAGUCUGUGAAGUGCGUGAUGACGCAUUCCUUAGGGCCUUGGGAUGGAUGCUGUGGCAGUACCUUUACCUAAGCUGUAAAGUUACCAAUGGAGAGACUGGGACUCAAAGAGGAACUUGAUUGGACCCCAGAGAGGUGAGGGGUAAGGGCUAGAACCUCACACAUGCUGGUUUUGCUGCUGCCUGGCAGGCCCAUGAGAGGAACUUUAAGGUUCCAAGGAAUUGGAAAAGGGUCACAAGAUGGGUGGUCCAACUCCCAGCUCUGGCUUGAUUCCUACUCUCAAACUGGGGAUAGUGGGGAAGGGAGCUGCAGGAAGGAAGCUGAUGAGAAAGGCUGAGAAUAAGAAGUUAUGCAGGAGGUAGCUUGGUGGGAGUGAAACAAAAAUGAAAGGUUCAUGGGCCAGCCAGGCAUCCUGAUUUCCAGCUCACAGCAGCAGGAGCUUCAGAGAGGAGGGAGAAGGGGAGGAGGAGAAAGCCAGGUUGAUAUUAAUAAAGGCCAAAUAAUUUCAGGAACACCUCUGGUCUCCCUCCACACAGGUUUUCUUACCUUGACUAUGCAGAGGGUGGUCCAUCUUGGCACUGAAGGUGGAACCCCCUCUUCCAUGGUCUGGGGUGACCCCAUGCCUGUUACUGAAUGUGCUCAGAUCCUUGGGGUGCAGGGACUGUAGGGGGAAGAUUUGAAGGUGUGGGAUUGUCCUGGCUGGAGACCACUGGGUCAGGAGAACUCCAGUAGAGGGUUUGGGUGCUGGGAACCAGGAAGAGUGGGGGAAGGGGCAGAGCCAACUCCAGAGGCGGAUCUCCUGGCUGAGGACAGAGGGUGUAUUGUCCAAGCAGGAGGUUGCUGCAGCUGGGCGGGGAGCAGCUCAGCUCGUCUCUUCCAAAUUUCUUUUGGGGGAGGGUAAGGGAAGGCAAGUCCCUCUUUACUUGUGGCCCUGGGGGCUACAAUGGUUGCUGAGAAACAAGGCUUAUUUGACAAAUAAUGCUUCCCAGGA